UACGGAGGAUUCAAGCGUUAUCCGGAUUUAUUGGGUUUAAAGGGAGCGUAGGCCGGUCUUUAAGCGUGCCGUGAAAUUUUGUGGCUCAACCAUGAGAGUGCGGCGCGAACUGGAGACCUUGAGUGCGCGGAAGGCAGGCGGAAUGCGUGGUGUAGCGGUGAAAUGCAUAGAUAUCACGCAGAACCCCGAUUGCGAAGGCAGCAUACCGGCGCCCGACUGACGCUGAGGCACGAAAGUGCGGGUAUCGAACAGG
rnacentral:rRNA from 1 species